rnacentral:rRNA from 1 species
AUCGGUGACAGGUGGUGCAUGGUUGUCGUCAGCUCGUGUCGUGAGAUGUUGGUUAAGUCCCGCAACGAGCGCAACCCCUAUUGUUAGUUGCCAUCAUUCAGUUGGGGCACUCUAGCGAGACUGCCGGUAAUAAACCGGAGGAAGGUGGGGAUGACGUCAAAUCAUCAUGCCCCUUAUGACCUGGGCUACACACGUGCUACAAUGGUUGGUACAACGAGUUGCGAGUCGGUGACGGCGAGCUAAUCUCUUAAAGCCAAUCUCAGUUCGGAUUGUAGGCUGCAACUCGCCUACAUGAAGUCGGAAUCGCUAGUAAUCGCGGAUCAGCACGCCGCGGUGAAUACGUUCCCGGGCCUU